GCCGGUUUAGCUCAGCUGGUAGAGCAGCGGUUUUGUAAACCGAAGGUCGCGGGUUCGAGUCCUGCAACCGGCACCA
rnacentral:tRNA from 6 species